UACGUAGGUGACCAGCGUUGUCCGGAUUUACUGGGCGUAAAGAGCGCGCAGGCGGUUGGAUAAGUCGAAUGUGAAAGCCCCUGGCUCAACUGGGGAGGGUCAUUCGAUACUGUCCGACUCGAAGGCAGGAGAGGGAAGCGGAAUUCCCGGUGUAGUGGUGAAAUGCGUAGAUAUCGGAAGGAACAUCAGUGGCGAAGGCGACUUCCUGGACCAAUACUGACGCUCAGGUGCGAAAGCGUGGGGAGCAAACAGG
rnacentral:rRNA from 1 species